rnacentral:tRNA from 1 species
GCCAGCUUGGCGCAGUGGUAACGCGUAGCACUUGUACGCGGUACAGAUAUGCUAAGAUCGCUCGUUCGAUUCGGGCAGUUGGCA